rnacentral:rRNA from 1 species
GACGGAGGAUGCAAGCGUUAUCCGGAAUUAUUGGGCGUAAAGCGUCCGCAGGUGGCUGUUCAAGUCUGCUGUCAAAGCGCAGAGCUUAACUCUGUACAGGCGGUGGAAACUGAAGAGCUAGAGUAUGGUAGGGGUAGAGGGAAUUCCCGGUGUAGCGGUGAAAUGCGUAGAGAUCGGGAAGAACAUCGGUGGCGAAAGCGCUCUACUGGACCGCAACUGACACUCAGGGACGAACGCUAGGGGAGCGAAUGGG